rnacentral:tRNA from 1 species
GAAGGUGUAGUUCAGUGGUAGAGUGCAUGCCUACCAAGCAUGAUGUCCUGGGUUCAAUCCCCAGUAGCUCA